rnacentral:rRNA from 1 species
UUCGUCCUACGGGGGGCAGCAGUCGGGAAUCUUUCACAAUGGGGGAAACCCUGAUGGUGCGACGCCGCGUGGGGGAAUGAAGGUCUUCGGAUUGUAAACCCCUGUCAUGUGGGAGCAAAUUAAAAAGAUAGUACCACAAGAGGAAGAGACGGCUAACUCUGUGCCAGCAGCCGCGGUAAUACAGAGGUCUCAAGCGUUGUUCGGAAUCACUGGGCGUAAAGCGUGCGUAGGCUGUUUCGUAAGUCGCGUGUGAAAGGCCCGGGCUCAACCCGCGGACGGCACAUGUUACUGCGAGACUAGAGUAA